GGAACCAAAUACAAUAUGACCUGACCAUGAUAUUCACACCCCAUCUUCACAUGCACAACCCCAGGUGAGGUUUAGGUCUAAGAGAAUGGUUGGAACCAAAUACAAUAUGACCUGACCAUGAUAUUCACACCCCAUCUUCACAUGCACAACCCCAGGUGAGGUUUAGGUCUAAGAAUGGUUUUAACCAAAUACAAUAUGCUUUUAGAUGUAUUUACACCCAGUUUAUUCUGUAAGUCCUUUUGCUAAGAGUCUCUGUGAGCUCCCAUGGCUGUAGAUACUGAUGUGUAGAGUCUGCAGUCAUCAGCAUACAUAGUAACUUUAGCUUCUUGUAAGACAAAUGGCAAAUAAUUUGUAAAAAUAGAGAAGAGUAAGGUGUGUUGGUUUGAUGACAUGUUGAGGGUUUCACACUCUGUGGGGUUAUAUUUACUUUACCACCUACUGUUAGUGCUUUCAUCUUAAGAUGGCUGAGAGACCGUCACUUUAAAAACGGGCUCGUAUUGUCAAUUAAAAUGUUAUAAUGUAGAAUGUUUUGCCAAUGUUAUAGGUAGAGUUUUCAUGUUGGAAUUCAAUGUUAUAUGUAGAGUUUUCAUGUAAUUCAAUGUAAUUAAAAUUGAACGCAUAUGUGUUUGUAGUUAAUACAUGCCAAUGUAUUUAGGUUUUUAAUGAGAAUAAAUACGAAGCUCCAAUGAACCUUGGCAUUAUUUUUUCCAACUUAUUCCUCUGAGAACAACUAAAAAUGCAUUUUAUUUUUUUAACCUAAAGUAAGAUUAGCUACACGAAACAUCAUCGACGUAGACACACAAUAGUUUUGUAUCUCCUAUUGGGGAAAGACUAAUGAACGGGCUGCACAGUCACUAUGGGAGCUGUCUAGAGCGCCCGUUAAAUUGUGCAUACAAGCAAUUCUUUUUUUAAACUCUGCAAACGGUUAAACUCUUAAACUCGUGAGAUAAAACUUCUAUGUAUAGUGGGUAACAUAAUACUAUCAUCCUACAUUGAAAUGUUGAUUUAUUUGUACAUAUUAGAUUAUUUUAUAUUUCGCCGUCUUCCUUGAUGUUUUGAUCCAAAUGGACAGCAUACGUUACGACUACAUUACGCAAGCUCACGUUUUGACCGCAUCGAAUGGAAGGCAUACGUUACGACUACAUUACGCAAGCUCACGUUUUGACCGCAUCGAAUGGAAGGCAUACGUUACGACUACAUUACGCAAGCCCACGUUUUGACCGCAUCAAAUGGAAGGUAUACGUCACAUCGAAUUUAGCUUAAUUAGACUUUUUUUUUUUUUUACCUCAGAUUGGUGCUGUUAAUGUAAAAGUUUAUAGUUAUCGCGAUGACACAAUCGAUGGCUUCAUAAAACAGAUCAAUAUCUUUGGUUCUGGUCCGCUUGGCGGUUGCAGGACUUAGAAUGCUGCUGUCAAUUUCAAACUCAAAUGGCAUGAAUAAUGC
ensembl:lncRNA